rnacentral:rRNA from 1 species
GACGAACGCUGGCGGCGUGCCUAAUACAUGCAAGUCGAGCGAGACUCUUCGGAGUCUAGCGGCGGACGGGUGAGUAACACGUGGGCAACUUGUCUGUAAGACUGGGAUAACACCGGGAAACCGGUGCUAAUACCGGAUAAUCCUUUUUCUCUCAUGAGGAAAAGCUGAAAGUCGGUUUCGGCUGACACUUACAGAUGGGCCCGCGGCGCAUUAGCUAGUUGGUGAGGUAACGGCUCACCAAGGCGACGAUGCGUAGCCGACCUGAGAGGGUGAUCGGCCACACUGGGACUGAGACACGGCCCAGACUCCUACGGGAGGCAGCAGUAGGGAAUCUUCCACAAUGGACGAAAGUCUGAUGGAGCAACGCCGCGUGAGCGAUGAAGGCCUUCGGGUCGUAAAGCUCUGUUGUUAGGGAAGAACAAGUAUCGGAGUAACUGCCGGUACCUUGACGGUACCUAACCAGAAAGCCACGGCUAACUACGUGCCAGCCGCCGCCGUAAAAC